UACGAAGGGUGCAAGCGUUAAUCGGAAUUACUGGGCGUAAAGCGUGCGUAGGCGGUUGGCUAAGUCAGAUGUGAAAGCUCUGGGCUCAACCUGGGAAUGGCAUUUGAAACUGGCCGGCUAGAGUGUGAUAGAGGAUGGCGGAAUUCCCGGUGUAGCGGUGAAAUGCGUAGAUAUCAAGUGGAACACCAGUGGCGAAGGCGAGUCCCUGGACGAUUCCUGACGCUGAGGCACGAAAGCUAGGGGAGCAAACAGG
rnacentral:rRNA from 1 species